UCUCUUCUCCACAAGGCUUGUUGAGAAAAUAAGGGUUUUAGGAGUGCAGUAGGGGAAAAGUCUCAGGAAUGGUGCAAUCAAAGAAGUCCUAGGAGUGCAGUGGCAAGCAAACUGAUGAUUUGGAUGAAAAACAAUUCAAGGGAAUUUGGACAGAAAAGCUAGGCCCAGGUGCCGCCAGCAGGAGAUUGCCAGAGACUACAGGUGUGGCUCAUUUGGUUCAUCAGCUGGGAAGCAUAAAGAGGAUGGAUUGCCAGCACUUUGUUACCUGAGUGCUUUGCCCUCUGUGUUGUGACCUCUGGCUGAUCGGACCUCGAACCAGACCUCUGUUGGUUUUUUGCGGCUCCUUCCUGGACUAGAACUGAACCUGGCAGACUGAGUUCUUCUCCUGACUCUGUGUCUCUCCCUGGCGGAUUCCACGUCCCCCCACUCCGAAUAUAUCAGCAGUACCACAACAACUACAUUCCCUAAAACGGCACACAUACACAGAUCCAUGAAAAGGUGAAUUAAAAUCAUUUCUGAAUACAAAUAAACAGUAAUUAAAAGGCAGCCAUGAUCAAAGGUGCACAGUUAGACAUGGUAAGAAAAAGAAAAAACCUGCAUACACACAGAGGUUUAGGAGAUAAAAUGAGUAGGCGAGAGUUAGAUGCCAACAAAACUGCAAGACGUACCGUUCCUAAGAUUUUAAGGCCUUUUACUUUUACCACCCAUCCCCACUCUUUAGGUACCAGUGUUUUAAAAUUAAAUUUGGCAAGCCGAUUGGCAUAGACUAAUGUUAAGCAGAGGACCGCCGGUUGGCUACCCAUGCAGACUACCCAACUAAUGUACUACAAAUAAAGUAUUGUAUUUUUAAAA